rnacentral:rRNA from 1 species
UGCCAGUCGCCGCGGUAAUACGGAGGGAGCUAGCGUUAUCCGGAUUUAUUGGGUUUAAAGGGUGCGUAGGCGGAAUAAUAAGUCAGUGGUGAAAUCCUGCGGCUCAACCGUAGAACUGCCAUUGAUACUGUUAUUCUUGAAUGCGGUCGAGGUAAAUGGAAUGUGUCAUGUAGCGGUGAAAUGCUUAGAUAUGAUACAGAACACCUAUUGCGAAGGCAGUUUACUAGACCGAUAUUGACGCUCAGGCACGAAAGCGUGGGGAGCGAACAGGAUUAGAUA